GGAGGAGGUGGUGGGAGAAGGGUUGGGUUGAGCCUCUUUUCUUUUCCAUGUUUUAUAUCCCCCUAUCUCUCUAUCCAUCCCUUCUGGUAUAUAUGCAUGCGUGCGUGUAUGGUCUACAGUGAGUAGUGCAGUGGUGGCGGUGGGUGAGAGAGGGUGGUGACGGUCGGCUCAAAAGGGAGGCAAAGGAGAGAGAGAGAAAAAGGCCUUCAAGUGGAUCAUCGCAGCCGCGGUCGUCAGUGAUCAGCCAGUUCCCGACCGAGACGGACUCUCUCCCUUUACUCGGCUACUCCCGCCGAUUUUUUUUUAUUUUUUUUUUAUUUAAUUUUUUUUUUGUUUAAAAACAAAACAAACAAAAAUACUUUGACGAUUUUUUGUCAAUUUUAUUUUUUUAAUGAUUUAUUUUGUUUAAUGUAAAUAUUUGUCGUGUGUCUAAGUGGGGUGGGAAGAUUAGAUUUUUGUCAAUUUGCAAUUCCAAAAGUCGUCAAAGAAAUUUGAAAUUUUAUUUAUUUUUAAAUUGUUGACUUGAGAUGGGGGGGUUCAACAUUUGGUCAGUCGAUAAUCGGCAUGUCAUUUAAGUUCAAGUGUCUUCAGUUUGUACAAAAAAACAAACAACUUUUUAUUUGGUUAUCUAAUAAGAGAAAAACCUCGCUCCCAAAAUUGUCCCUCCCCACAAAGCCAAGAAGAUAUUUCUCGCUCCGGGCGCAAGAGUCUAAACAUUUAUUUCGACUCGACUCUACCAAUUUGUGUUAAUUUAAUUAACCAGAUUGUUUACGCCCGCCAAUCUGUGGGAAACCGGAUGGAAUUGGGAACAAAACGAAAGUUGUGUCUUUAUUUGGAUGUUUGGUUUCAAAAUCUGCGCAACGAAGGCCAACAACUCGAUCCCGUCAACUUCGUGACAUUGGCUCCUAACUGCGACGCUCACGUCGUUAUUUCAAACAAAACAAAUUCAAUUCAAGUUUAUAUAUUUUUUAAAAAAGUGAAAUCAUUCCAGCCAUCCGGUUUUUUUCUCUCGUAUAAUGUGUGUCACUGGCUGCGUGUGUCGCCGUGUGUGUGUGUGUGUGGGGACAUAAAAUGUAUUGAUUGGGGCGGGUCCCUUUUUUGGUUGAGGCCACCCAACCCUCCUUUUUUAUCCCCAUUUCGCCCCCAAUGCCACCCAAUACGCGAAUCCCAUUUUUUCUCUUCCGUAUAGGUACAGCACACACACACACACACACAUUCUGGUGGGUGGUAAUACCACCCCAUUUUUAGACCUACCCCUCUUCCGGAAGAGGAGGCCUACGUGUAUUGAAAAUGGGGGGGGGGGAUUGAUCGGUGGGUGGAAGGAGGAGCCAUCUAUCACUAGCCAUUGGUCACCUUUUUACCAAAUAACGCCAGAAAAACGGGUGGGAGCAUAGGAUAUUUUUAAGGGCACAAUGUAUACAGUAGAGCAUGCGCCGGAUUCUAGGAGGCCUAGUAAAAAUCAAACAUUUUUUUCCCUAGUUUUGUAGGAGGAAUAAAUGAAUAACCAAGUACCCGAAACGAUAGGCGAGAACCUCCCAGUGAGGACGACAUCCAAAUCAAUUGAUUUUACGUUGAAAUUUCUUGAACGAAAUAGUCUCAAUCGAACGAGUGAAGAGGCUACAGUUUGACGUCCAAGUUGAAUGUUCCAAAAGCGUCGACAAGAAAAAGUGUCGUCAUAGUAACAGUUUCUUUUCUAUAUAUGUAGGCCCAGGUCGAUAAGCAUCGUGUGUGUGUGUGUGUGUCUUUUUUCUUUCUUUCUCAUUUCCAGUUUGAAAUCGUCGUCGAAUGGAUGUGACGUGUCGCUAGCGAGGUAUAGAGUUCCUACGUCUUGUCACUGAAUUCAAGUCGAUUGGUAGGAACUUCAUACCGUGCUCUCGACGCCAAUCCGAUAGUCUCCGAUUCAUCGUCUUUGAUUUGUCAAAUUAUUACACGGGUGAGACAUUUGCAUAUACAUUUUGUUUAUAAUUAAUCGUCGCUCAAAGAA